GACGAACGCUGGCGGCGUGCUUAACACAUGCAAGUCGAACGAGAAUCUUACGAGUGGAAACUUCGGUAGAAACAUGUAAGAGGAAAGUGGCGAACGGGUGAGUAACGCGUGGGCAACCUGCCUUACACAAAGGGAUAGCCUCGGGAAACCGGGAUUAAUACCAUAUGAUACCUUAGGAACGAGUGUUUCCAAGGUUAAAGAUUUUAUCGGUGUAAGAUGGGCCCGCGUCUGAUUAGCUAGUUGGUGAGAUAAAAGCUCACCAAGGCGACGAUCAGUAACCGGCUUGAGAGAGUGAACGGUCACAUUGGAACUGAGACACGGUCCAAACUCCUACGGGAGGCAGCAGUGGGGAAUAUUGCACAAUGGGGGAAACCCUGAUGCAGCGACGCCGCGUGAACGAUGAAGGCCUUCGGGUCGUAAAGUUCUGUCCUUGGUAAAGAUAAUGACGGUAACCAAGGAGGAAGCACCGGCUAAAUACGUGCCAGCCGCCGCCGUAAAAC
rnacentral:rRNA from 1 species